CCUACGGGAGGCAGCAGUGGGGAAUAUUGCACAAUGGGCGCAAGCCUGAUGCAGCAACGCCGCGUGAGGGAUGACGGCCUUCGGGUUGUAAACCUCUUUUAGCAGGGAAGAAGCGAAAGUGACGGUACCUGCAGAAAAAGCGCUGGCUAACUACGUGCCAGCAGCCGCGGUAAUACGUAGGGCGCAAGCGUUAUCCGGAAUUAUUGGGCGUAAAGAGCUCGUAGGCGGUUUGUCGCGUCUGCUGUGAAAUCCGGAGGCUCAACCUCCGGCCUGCAGUGGGUACGGGCAGACUAGAGUGCGGUAGGGGAGAUUGGAAUUCCUGGUGUAGCGGUGGAAUGCGCAGAUAUCAGGAGGAACACCGAUGGCGAAGGCAGAUCUCUGGGCCGUAACUGACGCUGAGGAGCGAAAGGGUGGGGAGCAAACAGGCUUAGAUACCCUGGUAGUCCACCCCGUAAACGUUGGGAACUAGUUGUGGGGUCCAUUCCACGGAUUCCGUGACGCAGCUAACGCAUUAAGUUCCCCGCCUGGGGAGUACGGCCGCAAGGCUAAAACUCAAAUGAAUUGACGG
rnacentral:rRNA from 1 species